GUGCUCACUUCAGCAGCACAUAUACUAAAAUUGGAACAAUACAGAGAUUAGCAUGGUGCCUGCGCAAGGAUGACACACAAACUGUGAAGUGUUCCAUAUUUUU